GAAGACCUAGCCGCUGCUCCCCUCCCACUCAUGCCGCCCUCUCUCCUCUUCCUCCCGCACCGCCUCUCUCUCUCCCUCCAAACCCUAACCCGCGCCCGCCUCCCUGCCCCAUCGUCGUCCAGAUCCAACCCCACGCCGCCGUCAUCUCCUUCGCCCAGUCGGCUGCCGCCGCACCGCACGAGGUGGGAUGCCAUGCCCCAGCCGUCUCCUCGGCCUGCUUCACCGUCGAGCUCGCUCGUCAUGUCGUUGGGAGGGAAGGAAGAUGGUGUUGCUCUUAUCGAGGUGCACCGCCGUGACGUCAACGGGAGGAGGCCAAGCGAAGCGCGACAUCCACUCAUCCACAUCCCAUCCUCUCUUCCUCACACCAUCCUAUCUCCCUCCCAGAUCCACCACGCAGCUCUGUAGCUCGCUCGGGCGCUCGGACGCCGACGCCAUGGAGGACGCCGCUCCACCCCUGCUCCGGUCCGUGCCCCCGACGCCAUGGAGGACGCCCCUCCACCCCUGCUCCACCCUGAAGCUCGCUCAGGCGCCCGGACGCCGACGCCAUGGAGGACGCCGCUCCACCCCUGCUCCGAUCCGUGCCCCCAACGCCAUGGAGGACGCCCCUCCACCCCUGCUCCAGCCUAAAGCCCAUCGAUGACGCGCCGUCUCCUGCAAGCCCCUCGCCUCCUCCUCGACUGGCGGCAGCGCCGACCCCGAUGAGGAGCCCAUCCUGCCUCUCCUCCAGGAACUAGCAGAUAGCUUGGUGCUCCCGCAAGCAAUUUGGGAUUCUGUCUUGAUCACAAGAAUCCAUCAGAAUUCAAUACCCGAUAGUCAUGCUGACAUGAUGGAUCUGGACAAACCAUUUGAUCCCAUAUUUAGCUGACCUAUGGGCAACCCAUUUGGUAUUUUGGACGCAAAUUUUGUUGAGAGAGCCGCAGCUGGUUUCUUUGGUCGGGGACCUCAGGUUACACAUCGCAGGGUUGUGCGGUAGAUACCUAUCACACUAAUAAUCCUCAAACUGGAAGGACCAGGAGCAGCUGCAAGCUAUCACGGAACCAGUUCUCUCAUUUGUUCUGCAAUGCAGUAGGCACACUCCACAAUCUCAGUUCCUAAUCUUUGUUAUGCGCUGAGAGGAGGGAAGAAGGACAAUGUGGUCGCAGCCCUAUCGGCACCCUUCUCACCUGAUUCAUCCGCAGCACGCCAUGCAGGUUCGUUUUUGUGUAUUGUUCUUUACUGUCAAGUCUGAAGUUAGUGGUUCUUGAGUGAGCUGCGGAAGCUACUACCGUCUGUUAUCUGCUCCAUGUGCGCCGACGAACAAGUUAAUUAGGUGGCUUGGUGUGUGCUUUUCGACCGCCAUGGCCGACGACUCAUCGUCCCCGAUAUCUUACAUCCAACUGGUACAUUCACACAGUAUAAUGCUCUGCUCCACUGUCUUUCUUGCGUUGCAUUUCUGCAUGCAUGCAGAAGAAGGGAGAAACUGUAUUCCGAGAUUGUAUCUUCAGAUACUGGCUAGCUAGCUUUGAUCCAAAAAAGAAAUGGUUGUCAUGGCGGCAGCAACAUCUAUACUCUGAAUAUGUGUUCCUUUGUAGAUGUGUGUUGUCACUGUAAAUAAAUUCAGUGUACGUAGCCUGCCACUUGUGUAAUUCAUUAACAUCCGACCACAUGAGAGUUUGUAGCUGGUGACAGCACCAAGUGGUAAGCAUGUUUUCUUGAGAAUUCAA